rnacentral:lncRNA from 1 species
AGAAGAAGAAGAAGAAGAAAGUGUCUUCAAAAUGAAUUCUUGUAUUUGGAGUUUGAUGUUGGAAGAUCCAAUGGUGAUUAGAAGAGAGAAAGGAGAAAAGAUGAUUAAUUUGAAAUUUUAAGUUAAAUUGAAUUUAUGCAGUUUAAUUAAUUAUCAGUGGAUUGUUUAUAGGAAAACCAAAAUUAUUAAACAAUGCGAUGUCGUUUGUUCCGUGAGCUUAUCUUAUCC